rnacentral:rRNA from 1 species
GUUUGAUCAUGGCUCAGGAUGAACGCUGGCGGCGUGCCUAAUACAUGCAAGUCGAACGGAGAUAUUGUAGCAAUACGGUAUUUUAGUGGCGAACGGGUGAGUAACGCGUUGGUGACCUGCCCCGAAGAGGGGGAUAACAGUCCGAAAGGAUUGCUAAUACCCCAUGUGGUUAUUUGGAUUAGAUGCCUGAUAACAAAAGGAGAAAUUCGCUUCGGGAGGGACCUGCGUCCCAUCAGCUAGUUGGUGAGGUAACGGCCCACCAAGGCUACGACGGGUAGGGGACCUGAGAGGGUGGCCCCCCACAAUGGAACUGAAACACGGCCCAUACACCUACGGGUGGCAGCAGUAGGGAAUAUUAGUUAAUGUGCGAAAGCGCGAACUAGCAACGCCGCGUGCACGAUGAAGGCCUUCGGGUCGUAAAGUGCUUUUUGAGGGGAUGAGAAAGGACAGUACCCUCAGAAUAAGUCUCGGCUAACUACGUGCCAGCAGCCGCGGUAAAACGUAGGAGGCGAGCGUUAUCCGGAUUUACUGGGUGUAAAGCGCGUGCAGGCGGUUUGGUAAGUUGGAUGUGAAAGCUCCUGGCUUAACUGGGAGAGGUCGUUCAAAACUACCAGACUUGAGGGCGGUAGAGGGAGGUGGAAUUCCGUGUGUAGUGGUGAAAUGCGUAGAUAUACGGAGGAACACCAGUGGCGAAAGCGGCCUCCUAGACCGAUCCUGACGCUCAGACGCGAAAGCUAGGGUAGCAAACGGGAUUAGAGACCCCGGUAGUCCUAGCUGUAAACGAUGUGAACUUGGCGUCGGUGGGUUUAAAUCCAUCGGUGCCGAAGCUAACGCGAUAAGUUCACCACCUGGGGACUACGGCCGCAAGGUUAAAACUCAA